ACACAGAUACACAGAUACACAGACACACAACAGAUACACAGAUACACACGUCAAACUUAUAACACCCCUCUUUUUGGGUCGGGGGUUAAUAAACUCACUCGUAUGUAUUACAUUUUUAGAAUAGCUGGUAGUCACUGAGAUUUUAGGCAUGGUAUGCUGGAAUCCAAGUGGAAUGCCUGUAGCAAUAAUAGCACCUAAACAAUUGCUAUUAAAAAUUAUUAAGUACUUCAUAUUUGUGCCUAUUGGCGUGGAGACCUUGGGGCCUUUGGGCUUGGGGGCUCGAGCUCUUUUUGAGGAAAUUUCGAAAAGGGUCAUCGAGUCAACCGGGGACCCGAGAGCUGGCGGCUACCUUGGGGAAAGAAUUAGUUUGGCCAUCUAAAUGGGAUAAUGCUGCCAGCAUCUAGGAUACAAUACUGCAUGGUCUCGUUAGAUUCAUUUUAGUUUUUAUUUGAACAUUUUUUUAAUAUUCAUUUAGAUUUGUUUAUUUUAUAAGUACCUAAUUAUCUGUAUGUUGAUAUUAAAUAAUUAAGUACAUUUUAUUUUAUUUGAGCCGCUGUAUCAUCAAUUACCACCAGGCGAUAUUGCAGUAAUGGGCUAGCUUGUAUCUGAAUUAUAAAAAAAAUGUCCUUAAAAAAAGGAUUUUUAAAAAUUCAACCCCUAAGGGGGUAGAAUAGGGGUUUGAAAUU